rnacentral:tRNA from 1 species
GAAUAGCUCAGUUGGUAGAGUGUGUGGCUCUGGUUGAUCACAUGGUCCAAAAGGUUGUGGGUUCAAUUCCCACCUC